GAUGAACGCUGGCGGCGUGCCUAAUACAUGCAAGUCGAGCGAAUGGAUUGAGAGCUUGCUCUUAAGAAGUUAGCGGCGGACGGGUGAGUAACACGUGGGUAACCUGCCCAUAAGACUGGGAUAACUCCGGGAAACCGGGGCUAAUACCGGAUAACAUUUUGAACCGCAUGGUUCGAAAUUGAAAGGCGGCUUCGGCUGUCACUUAUGGAUGGACCCGCGUCGCAUUAGCUAGUUGGUGAGGUAACGGCUCACCAAGGCAACGAUGCGUAGCCGCCCUGAGAGGGUGAUCGGCCACACUGGGCCUGAGACACGGCCCAGACUCCUACGGGAGGCAGCAGUAGGGAAUCUUCCGCAAUGGACGAAAGUCUGACGGAGCAACGCCGCGUGAGUGAUGAAGGCUUUCGGGUCGUAAAACUCUGUUGUUAGGGAAGAACAAGUGCUAGUUGAAUAAGCUGGCACCUUGACGGUACCUAACCAGAAAGCCACGGCUAACUACGUGCCAGCCGCCGCAGUAA
rnacentral:rRNA from 1 species